GGUCUGAGGGAGCUGAAGAAGUUUGCAGCCCCAUAGGAGGAACAACAAUAUGAACCAACUUUGAGGUGGUCUUUUAGGGACAAGUGAUGGAUUGAGCUUUCCUAUUCUGCUUUCAACCCUCUCUCUAAAUUAUGGAAAAUAUUUAUAAAUAACUUGUUUAUUUUUUGCCUUUUGCUUUUUUCUAUUCUCUCUCUAAAACCUACACGUUAAACUAUUAACUUUUCAGAGUUAUGCCAAUUUCAUUACCGGUCUGUCUACCGUAUCUUUCCUUAGUUUGGAGAGGCUUGUUAUGUUUUAUUAUUUAAUCUCUUAGAGAAAUCUGUGUCUCUGACAUUAUUUCCUACAACAUUAUUGUGUCCAUUUUUUUCAGUCUUAAUUCUUAUUUAAAAUUUGGAGCAGCUUCACCAUUUAUAUGAAGAUUUAACAUGACUUUUUUAAAUUUUACUUUUCUUUAAGGAUUUCUUUACUUUCUGAGUUCUUACGUCAUUCCCCAAAAUCCGUUUACUGUGUGUUUAUUUGGCUGUUCAAUUGUAUUGAACUUGCAAGACCAGAAUAUUGCUUGAUUGUGUAUGGACUUAUUUACUGAUUCUUUAUUUAGAAAAACAAACAAACAAAAAAAAACCAAAAACAAAACAUUGGCUGGAUCACUUUAGGAGAGGAUCUGCUGUGUUUAAUGCCUCUGUGACUCUUUCUCCUGAAAUGAAACAUCUGUUCUCUUAUAUAGAUGGUAUGGGCCAGGAUGCUCAGAUUCAAGUAGGAUGGGGUCUGAGAGUCUCACCUGAUUUUUUUUCAAAGAUUUUUUUUUAGCCAUAGAUAUUAUUUCAUCAUGACAUUCUCUACCUUCAGCUCUAUUUCUUUGUUGUAGAUGCAAUAACAGUUAAAACACUCAAUUGGCGGGAGAUGUUGUAGUACAUCUUCUUGAAAUUGGGGAUGUAAAAUGUGCCUCAAUCUUCAUGGCAAGGACAAUACAGGAACAAGGGAUCUGCAAGAAGAAUUUUAAUCAACUUGAUCUACCAGUGGCACGUGGUGCGUAAUGUAUCAGCAUCAGAUCAUAACAGCACAUCCUAGAACGUCAUCAGGAACAUGUGGAGGUCAGAUGACAAUUCUCGGGAACUGGUUUUCUUCUUCUACCAUGUAUGUUCCAGGUGUAGAACUCAGGCAGUCAGACAUGGUGGAAAGCCUUUAUUUAAGGUCAUUUUUCAAACAUGAUUUUUGUUUUAGGUUGAAUUCCCUUCUCAUUUUGAUAGAAUAAAGAAUGCCUGAUCCAAUAUUAUUAAAUUAUAUCUAAUUAUGAAUUUAUGAUAACUAUAACAGCAAUGACCAGGUCAAGAAGAUUAGCUGCUAAGUCUUUCCUUGAAUCUAUCCCAAAGUACUUGUUAGUUACAAUAGCUAACAUUUCUCAAGGGCUCAGUAUAUCAUAGGCUAGGUUUUAAGGGAUUCAUACGUAAAAGUAUAUUAACCCAUUAAAACCAUGCAAGGAAGUGACAUUAUAACACAAACAUCAGGCUCCAGAUUCCAGUUUCCGAAUCAAAAACCUAUCAUAUCCCUGCAUUUGACUGAUACCAUUGUUGCUGUUGCGUUACAAAAGGUAAUUAAGAAAGGGUUCUAAAACAUGAGCUCUUCCAGAUCCAAAAUGGGAAACUGAGGCCCCCCUACAACAUCCCUAGAAGGUUCUCUUUCAACUUUGAUGAGCUGUCAUACUCAAAAUUCAGCUGCCAUUCCCCGUGGUCAGGCAGAGCCAGCAUCAGCUCAGAGUGGAAUCAAAGCAGGGAGCGGGGUUUCCAGGCAAUUGCAGCAGUAACCUCGACCUGACAGCCUCAGUUUCCAUCUUGUUCUGUCCCUGGUUUCCUCAUACAAAUCUUUUCUGCCCCUUUCAAGCAUCUUCUUGUGGCUUCACACGAUGAAAGAAAAAUUAAAACCUGUUUCCCGAGGCCAGAAAUAAGCCACCUUUACAAGUUGAUAUCUGUGUAUUGUUUCCUUAAACUCCUACCCCUCCAGUUCUUAAGUAAAUGAAGGUUGCAUGCUCUCAGGAGGUAAAUUAAAAUAGUGUUUUCUUCUGUUUACUUGUCAUUCUGGAAAAUCUGUGCUUCCUUUUGAUAAAUAAAUAAACGAAACGAAAACGAGUUUUGCGAAGCCAAGGUCAAGAGAUCCUUUUCUCACUUCUCUCGGCUGGAAAAUCAUGGUCGCUCUUCACUGGGCUACUCCAGCAGCAGCAGCAGCAGCAGCAGCAGCAGCAGCAGCAGCAGCAGCAGCAGCAGCAGCAGGUGACUGUCAGCUAAGUCAAGCACCAAGGACAAGGAGUUCCUCUUUUCUUCAUACUGCUUUCUGUGCAGAAGCAGCUGAAGGUCACAUCCUGGAAACUAGGAUCCAUCUUCUUGAGGAAAAAAGUGAAAUGUUAAAAGGAUUUUAUGAUCGGGUAAGAGCAGAUCGUUGGGCAAUUAGAACGAUUAGAAGUUGACACGGCACAAGACCCAGGUUAAGUGUGUCUCAGAAAUCCGGGAGAGAAGCACAGAAGACAGGAAAUGACUUCUGCAGCUUUUCCUCAUGGCGUGCUCAAGAAGCUGAACCAGCAGUGUUUAGUGGCUCAGCACAGGGUAUUGAAAAGAAAUCCCAAGGACCUUUCAAAAUCUGCUUAGCAAAAAUCCGAAUCAUGGCCAGAAAGCAAGUAGUGCCUGCCAUUGUUUUGCCACCUAAAGACAUGCACGACCUGGGUGGAGUUAACGUUAGCUCUACAAUGAAAAGUAUCGGAACAUGCAUUCGUAAUUCUACAUAGGUGAACGUGGAAGUUGGUCACUUUUUCUAAAAUUCUUAUAUACUGCUCCUCAAAAACUCAAAACUGCCAUGCUGCAUUCAAUGAGGCAGGAAUAUAAACAAGAGUAAACCUGAACUACCUCUAGACUGAAAAAUAGGUUAGCAUGUAAAAUGGAAAGGAACCAUCCUCACAGAUCCUGGUCCAGUUUUUAUUGUCAAAGAGUCAUCAUGACCAUCACCAUCACCGUCACCUUUACAGUCACACUCACCAUCACAGUCACCGUCAUCAUCAUCAUCAUCAUCAUCACCAACAGCAUCAGCAUCAUUAGUGUCACCAUCAGUGUCAUCAUCGUCAUCAUCGUCAUCACCAUCAUCACCAACAUCAUCAUCAUCAUAAUCACCAUCAUCACGAUCAUCACCAACAUCAUACACAGAGAUGAAAUGGUAAGAAAGGAGAAGGAUGACAAGAGUUGCUCAGUCUCAGGGUCUAUAGAUUUCACACGUGUACCUGUGCACACGCCCUGGCAUGCAUGUGAGGAUCUAACUAUAACUUUCAGGAGUCAGUUCUCCUACCUUGUAAGUUCCAGGGAUCAAACUAAUGCCAUCAGGCUUUGCUGCAAGCAUCUUUAUGCAUUAUGUUGUCUCACCCGUUUAUUAUUAUUAUUAUUAUUAUCAUCAUCAUCAUCAUCAUCAUCAUCAUCAUCAUUAUCAUUAUUAUUACUAUCCAAUGUUAGCGGAUGUGCUUAGAAUGAGCAACUGCGUCACCCUCUAAGCUUUAGCUAUGUUUCUCUGAAGGAAAUAAAAUGUAAAUAUUCACUAAACUGGGGAGUUAAAACUUGAAGAAUAAAUUGUGUUAUUUGUCUCCUAAUCAUUUAAGAACUGCAUUACAUUUUCUUUGCCCUUUCUCUUCUUGACUCCUAUAAAUGUGUACUGGAUUUCCUUGACAGAUUGGAAGAUUUAAUGUUAGAACUUGCAUAUAUCUCAUGACUGGUUUCAAGAAAUCUUCCUUCACUUGGUAUCCAUGUGUAGUGUUGCCCGAGCUAAAGUGCCUGGAGGUCUCAGAGAUAUAGAAAUACGGAGGAACAUCACAACAUGAGCAAGUCAAGGAAAGGUGAACUACAGAAAAAAGUGAUGUUUUCCAGGUGAAGGUGAAAUGAGAAAGAUAUUUAAACAUAAAACCUAAUCUCCAAAAUCAAUCAGGGAGAUGAGGUCACGGAGAGAAGCACAGAAACAACAUGACCAGGCCGCUUCCAUCAGUGUGGAUUUUCAUAUCUCGUUUUUACCAAACCCUGGCACGGUUACUGAAUUUCAUUCCUAAAACUCUGUUAAGAUGUAAAGAAAAAAAGCAGGAAGUAGAAUGAACAUAGGGGAGAACUAGUAGCUUAGGAGAAGGAUGUAAUUAGAGGGUUAUACAUUUGUUGAGUUUUUGAAUAAUUACCAGAAGUCAUAGAAUCCCAAAAUGAUAAUUCCGUUGCUUGUGAAAAUAAAACUGUAAGAUGAAAUGACGAUUGUGAAGAGAGUGGACAGUCGUGGGGUGAUUUACUCCAUUUAGCUCAGAGGGAACACAAGGGAUACAUGUCACUUAUGAAAGACAUAAGCUUAUUGUUCUGGGAACUGCCCUGUGUGGUUCAGCUCUAAUCUGCUUCAUUAUUUACUGAUUUUGAACACACCAAAGGGAGGCUUUUCAAGUAUAUCAAAAUCUAUUCUUGUAUUCUCUUCUCCAUAUUUUUUUGUUAAUAUUAUCUCAGUUUUCUUAUGAUGCAACAAUCAUAGCUGAAUUGUUUGGAAGAAAAUUUCUCUAAUAAUAGGAUGUAGUAUAUCAUAGAAUAUGAUGUGUCCGCUAUACUUGGGUUAUCUCCUAUUGUGUCAUCACUAACUACAGGAGAAAAGUCUUUAUUCCUGAAAGAGGGGAAUGUUAGAAACUCCCUGAGAAAAUACAGGUGUUUGCCUGGAAUGAGAUGGGACAUGGAAGUGAUGAGAUGGGAGCUAUGAGGGGCUCUGUAAGAUAGGAACACUGAUGAGCAUCUUAUAUUUCAUGGGCCACAGUACUAGAAGAGGGCUUGAGGCACAAUAGAGAGUUCUCACACUUGAACCUUGGCUCACAAAACGUCUAUGUUUAUAAGUCAGCCAUUAGAAAAAUGAUUAUUCUAUCUACUUUAUUCUGAAAACUGGCUCUCUACUGAAAUGAAAAUUUAUUUUUGCAUGCUACCUACUGUUGCUACUAGCUGUGUAAAUAAAUUUAAAGCCAGAGUAGAUUAUACCAUCAUUACUAAAUUUUGUUAAAAUAAUUAUUCAUUAUGAAUUCAAAAAUAAUUGGACUGAAAAAAACUAUUCAUCAUGACUUUGCAAAUAAGCCUAGAAUCUGAGUCACUUUAACCCUCAAAGAAGUAGUGAAAAUGAGUAUGUAUAUGUAUAAUAUAUGUAUAUAUAUAUUUGUAUGAAUGUGUGUGUGUGUGUGUGUGUAAUUGACUUCAGCAAAAUAAACUUCUAUGCCAGAAA